UAGUAAACAAGUGUUUUAUUUUCUCAAAUUCUAUUAGAAAUUUUUAUAUUAAUGACUGCUGACGUUGGCUGCAUGAGAAACACAUCCAAGUUUAUCUAGUGACGUAACGACGGUAAAGGAAAUCCUCAGCAUGGCGCCAAAGGGUAAGGUAGCCACCAAAGGCCAGAAGCAGAUUGUGGAGGAGAAUAAGAAGACGCUCGUCUUCUAUCGCAACAUCAUGUUUGGUGCCAGCGCUGCUUAUAUCGUCGUCCGACUACUGUGGUGGUUGGAGUCAUUCACGUGGCUACACUGGUUUUUCCUGAUCUUCGCAUCGGCUGUGUACAUUGGCUGCUACCAGUUCAUGUCCUUCAUGGCCCGAGCCAAGUAUUCACCCACGGGGGCGCUGUUGGACGGUGGUGUGGAUCUCAACAUGGAGCAAGGGUUGGCUGAACACGUGAAGGAUGUCCUCUUAGUGACAGCUGUCAUCCAGGUUAUAAGCAUUCUCUGGCAUCCCAUCUGGCUUCUCUGGUUGAUCGUCCCAGGCAGGGGCUUCUACCUGCUCUGGACCACCCUCCUAGCGCCCUGGUUCUUUGCCCCCGCCCCCGAAGUAGAUGAGAAGAAACAAAAGAAGAUGGAAAGAAAGAUGCAGAGGAGAUGAUGACAACUCAAAUUUUAAAAAGUGUCCUUUCCAGAACAAAAAUAAAAAGUCACACUUACUGUGUUUUUAAAUGGGUCAUUCUAUGAAUUAAAAUUUCCUGUCCCUAUAAACAUCAGAUAUCUAUGGCCGUAUAAUUUUUUGAAGCAUCUCCUCAAUGUGUUCGUCCUCCAGGAAAGAUUAUGAAUGGCAAACUACCUACCCAGUACAUGUAAAUAGAAAAUCAUAGACAUUCUUAGUGAUAUUUGAAUAACAAUUUACUAUGGGGACAGGAAAACGUCACACUUUGGACCCUAAUUUUAUAGCACCUAUAUCCGAGCGUCUCAAAUUUUGGAGAGCUUGGAUCUUGUUUGGUAUCAAAAUUAAUUUAAAUCUCACAAACAUAAGUACAUUGGGUGGC